rnacentral:rRNA from 2 species
UGCAGUCGAGCGGACAGAUGGGAGCUUGCUCCCUGAUGUUAGCGGCGGACGGGUGAGUAACACGUGGGUAACCUGCCUGUAAGACUGGGAUAACUCCGGGAAACCGGGGCUAAUACCGGAUGCUUGUUUGAACCGCAUGGUUCAGACAUAAAAGGUGGCUUCGGCUACCACUUACAGAUGGACCCGCGGCGCAUUAGCUAGUUGGUGAGGUAACGGCUCACCAAGGCGACGAUGCGUAGCCGACCUGAGAGGGUGAUCGGCCACACUGGGACUGAGACACGGCCCAGACUCCUACGGGAGGCAGCAGUAGGGAAUCUUCCGCAAUGGACGAAAGUCUGACGGAGCAACGCCGCGUGAGUGAUGAAGGUUUUCGGAUCGUAAAGCUCUGUUGUUAGGGAAGAACAAGUGCCGUUCAAAUAGGGCGGCACCUUGACGGUACCUAACCAGAAAGCCACGGCUAACUACGUGCCAGCAGCCGCGGUAAUACGUAGGUGGCAAGCGUUGUCCGGAAUUAUUGGGCGUAAAGGGCUCGCAGGCGGUUUCUUAAGUCUGAUGUGAAAGCCCCCGGCUCAACCGGGGAGGGUCAUUGGAAACUGGGGAACUUGAGUGCAGAAGAGGAGAGUGGAAUUCCACGUGUAGCGGUGAAAUGCGUAGAGAUGUGGAGGAACACCAGUGGCGAAGGCGACUCUCUGGUCUGUAACUGACGCUGAGGAGCGAAAGCGUGGGGAGC